GAUGAACGCUAGCUACAGGCUUAACACAUGCAAGUCGAGGGGUAACGAGAGGAAAGCUUGCUUUCCUUGUCGACGACCGGCGCACGGGUGAGUAACGCGUAUCCAACCUGCCCCCAACUAGGGAAUAACCUUGCGAAAGUAAGACUAAUACCCUAUAAUUUCCUCAGAUGACAUCUGACGAGGAAUAAAGAUUUAUCGGUUGUGGAUGGGGAUGCGUCUGAUUAGCUUGUUGUCGGGGUAACGGCCCACCAAGGCAACGAUCAGUGGGGGUUCUGAGAGGAAGGUCCCCCACAUUGGAACUGAGACACGGUCCAAACUCCUACGGGAGGCAGCAGUGAGGAAUAUUGGUCAAUGGGCGGAAGCCUGAACCAGCCAAGUAGCGUGCAGGAUGACGGCCCUAUGGGUUGUAAACUGCUUUUAUACAGGAAUAAAGUUAGCCACGUGUGGUUAUUUGUAGGUACUGUAUGAAUAAGGACCGGCUAAUUCCGUGCCAGCCGCCGCCGUAA
rnacentral:rRNA from 1 species